rnacentral:rRNA from 1 species
GUGGGGAAUCUUGCGCAAUGGGCGAAAGCCUGACGCAGCCAUGCCGCGUGAAUGAUGAAGGUCUUAGGAUUGUAAAAUUCUUUCACCGGGGACGAUAAUGACGGUACCCGGAGAAGAAGCUCCGGCUAACUUCGUGCCAGCAGCCGCGGUAAUACGAAGGGGGCUAGCGUUGCUCGGAAUUACUGGGCGUAAAGGGCGGGUAGGCGGACAGAGUAGUCAGAGGUGAAAGCCCAGGGCUCAACCUUGGAAUGGCCUUUGAUACUGGCUGUCUUGAGUUUGGGAGAGGUGAGUGGAACUCCGAGUGUAGCGGUGAAAUUCGUAGAUAUUCGGAAGAACACCAGUGGCGAAGGCGACUCACUGGCCCAAUACUGACGCUGAGGCGCGAAAGCGUGGGGAGCAAACAGGAUUAGAUACCCCUGUAGUCC